UCACAUUUAAACAACAACAAAAGAGCUGUGGGUACACUGUAUAUAGACGAUUUUUCAAGUUUCAAUUACAGUAUGAAUAAUCAUUACAACUAUAUUCGUUUCACCUAUGACCACAGCAACGGAGAAGUACAUACAGAAACCAUCGGUGGUGACCCUAAAGGUUUCGAUGUCCAUGUUGACAAGAUAAUCCUCAGUGAACCAGCGGUUUCAGGUAGUCAAAUCUACAGGAAAGAAAUUUUCGUCAAGGAGACUGAACAUCGCGGAGAAGUCAAGAUUUUCAAACUGAAAUAAUUAUUUCGAAGUAUAAUAUCUUCUGGAAUCUGAUGUCAAUCAAUAAAGCUAUCAACUAAUUUCGUGGAAGAA
rnacentral:misc_RNA from 1 species